rnacentral:rRNA from 1 species
UGGGGAAUAUUGGACAAUGGGCGAAAGCCUGAUCCAGCCAUGCCGCGUGUGUGAAGAAGGUCUUCGGAUUGUAAAGCACUUUAAGUUGGGAGGAAGGGCAUUAACCUAAUACGUUAGUGUUUUGACGUUACCGACAGAAUAAGCACCGGCUAACUCUGUGCCAGCAGCCGCGGUAAUACAGAGGGUGCAAGCGUUAAUCGGAAUUACUGGGCGUAAAGCGCGCGUAGGUGGUUUGUUAAGUUGGAUGUGAAAUCCCCGGGCUCAACCUGGGAACUGCAUUCAAAACUGACUGACUAGAGUAUGGUAGAGGGUGGUGGAAUUACCUGUGUAGCGGUGAAAUGCGUAGAUAUAGGAAGGAACACCAGUGGCGAAGGCGACCACCUGGACUAAUACUGACACUGAGGUGCGAAAGCGUGGGGAGCAAACA